AUUGCAGGCUGAAACCCGCCUGUAUGAAGUUGGAAUCGCUAGUAAUCGCGGAUCAGCAUGCCGCGGUGAAUACGUUCCCGGGCCUUGUACACACCGCCCGUCACACCAUGAGAGUCGGGAACACCCGAAGUCCGUAGCCUAACCGCAAGGAGGGCGCGGCCGAAGGUGGGUUCGAUAAUUGGGGUGAAGUCGUAACAAGGUCGACGCGGCCG
rnacentral:rRNA from 1 species